GGGCCCAUAGCUCAGCGGUUAGAGCUGUCGGCUCAUACCCGAUCGGUCCCUGGUUCGAAUCCAGGUGGGCCCA
rnacentral:tRNA from 1 species